rnacentral:rRNA from 1 species
CGCUGGCGGCGUGCUUAACACAUGCAAGUCGAACGGGAAAUAUUUUAUUGAAGCUUCGGCAGAUUUAGCUUGUUUCUAGUGGCGGACGGGUGAGUAACGCGUGGGUAACCUGCCUUAUACUGGGGGAUAACAGCCAGAAAUGACUGCUAAUACCGCAUAAGCGCACAGAACCGCAUGGUUCGGUGUGAAAAACUCCGGUGGUAUAAGAUGGACCCGCGUUGGAUUAGCUAGUUGGCAGGGCAGCGGCCUACCAAGGCGACGAUCCAUAGCCGGCCUGAGAGGGUGAACGGCCACAUUGGGACUGAGACACGGCCCAGACUCCUACGGGAGGCAGCAGUGGGGAAUAUUGCACAAUGGGGGAAACCCUGAUGCAGCGACGCCGCGUGAAGGAAGAAGUAUCUCGGUAUGUAAACUUCUAUCAGCAGGGAAGAUAAUGACGGUACCUGACUAAGAAGCCCCGGCUAACUACGUGCCAGCAGCCGCGGUAAUACGUAGGGGGCAAGCGUUAUCCGGAUUUACUGGGUGUAAAGGGAGCGUAGACGGCGCAGCAAGUCUGAUGUGAAAGGCAGGGGCUUAACCCCUGGACUGCAUUGGAAACUGCUGUACUUGAGUGCCGGAGGGGUAAGCGGAAUUCCUAGUGUAGCGGUGAAAUGCGUAGAUAUUAGGAGGAACACCAGUGGCGAAGGCGGCUUACUGGACGGUAACUGACGUUGAGGCUCGAAAGCG